rnacentral:tRNA from 1 species
AAAAAAUUAGUUAAUAGAUAACAUAAGCUUGUCAAGCUUAAAUAACUAAGAAGAUUAGUAUUUUUUA